rnacentral:rRNA from 1 species
CCAUGAAGCUGGAUUCGCUAGUAAUCGCGCAUCAGCCACGGCGCGGUGAAUACGUUCCCGGGCCUUGUACACACCGCCCGUCACACCAUGGGAGUCGGUAACACCCGAAGUCUGUAGCCUGACGCAAGAGGGCGCAGCCGAAGGUGGGAUUGAUGACUGGGGUGAAGUCGUAACAAGGUACC